GUGAAAUACAGUUUGUGUUAAUCUCCACACAGUAUGUCUCCUUUAUCUGUUACUGUUACUGUACCUCGAACAGAUGCUUUACUGUUGAAACUAUGAAAAUCGAAGCAUUCAAUCAUAAAGAACGGUCUAAGUAACGCAUACCAAGCUGUAACAAUAUGUUAUAUUGUGCAGAAGUUGUCGAAUAAUAUAGUGAUGAAAACUCAGUAGACAUGGUGGCAAUAUAGAAUGACCAUUUCUCAAACGGUUUGUAAUUUUAUUUGUGCAACACACUUACACAUGCGCGUUUCACUAUAUGCCACUUAAGUUCAACAGUUUGCCAAAUAGUUGCUUGCAUUGGUAUCUGCUCCUGCUCCUGCCCACGAUCGAAGUGAACAACUAUCUGAAAAUUUGCCUCGGAAAACGUAUUGAAGCACCUGGAGCGGUCUGGCUGAAACAAGGGAUUCCGGAACUUAAAGUCAGCGGUAGAAACCUGAUCCGGCCUGACUAUGCGACUGCGAGGCGUCCCAAUAACGGGUGUUGUGAAGGAUUCGGCCUGCGGCAGGCGGAAAUUGGAAGCU